rnacentral:rRNA from 1 species
UCCCGAGCGUUNUCCGGAUUUAUUGGGCGUAAAGCGAGCGCAGGCGGUUAGAUAANUCUGAAGUUAAAGGCAGUGGCUCAACCNUUGUAGGCUUUGGAGACUGUUUAACUNGAGUGCAGAAGGGGAGAGUGGANUUCCAUGUGUAGCGGUGAAAUGCGUAGAUAUAUGGAGGAACACCGGUGGCGAAAGCGGCUCUCUGGUCUGUAACUGACGCUGAGGCUCGAAAGCGUGGGGGGCGAACAGGAUUAGAUACCCUGGUAGUCCACGCCGUAAACGAUGAGUGCUAGGUGUUAGGUCCUUUCCGGGACUUAGUGCCGCAGCUAACGCAUUAAGCACUCCGCCUGGGGAGUACGACCGCAAGGUUGAAACUCAAAGGAAUUGACGGGGGCCCGCACAAGCGGUGGAGCAUGUGGUUUAAUUCGAAGCAACGCGAAGAACCUUACCAGGUCUUGACAUCCCGAUGCCCGCUCUAGAGAUAGAGCUUUACUUCGGUACAUCGGUGACAGGUGGUGCAUGGUUGUCGUCAGCUCGUGUCGUGAGAUGUUGGGUUAAGUCCCGCAACGAGCGCAACCCUUAUUGUUAGUUGCCAUCAUUCAGUUGGGCACUCUAGCGAGACUGCCGGUAAUAAACCGGAGGAAGGUGGGGAUGACGUCAAAUCAUCAUGCCCCUUAUGACCUGGGCUACACACGUGCUACAAUGGCUGGUACAACGAGUCGCAAGCCGGUGACGGCAAGCUAAUCUCUGAAAGCCAGUCUCAGUUCGGAUUGUAGGCUGCAACUCGCCUACAUGAAGUCGGAAUCGCUAGUAAUCGCGGAUCAGCACGCCGCGGUGAAUACGUUCCCGGGCCUUGUACACAC